GCCCAGGUGGUGGAAUUGGUAGACACGCUAGCUUGAGGGGCUAGUGGUAGCAAUAUCGUGCGGGUUCGAGUCCCGCCUUGGGCACCA
rnacentral:tRNA from 1 species